rfam:Ciona savignyi cont_7376, whole genome shotgun sequence.
GCUGGAAUUAGACCGCUGCUCAGUACGAGAGGAGCCGCAGAUUAGGACAUUUGGUUCAUGUGCUUGGCUGAUAAGUAAAUGGUGCGAAGCUACUAUCUGAGAUAUUAUGACUGAACGCCUCUAAGUCAAAAUCCCGCCUGGAAAGCGAC